UACGCUGGGGCACACGCUGAGUCGCGCUGACAGUGCCGUGCUGAGCCGUGCCGAGCGGUGCGCGGAAGCCGGGGUUGUGCAAAGCCGCAGCGCCUCCUGUUGUCCGGCCGCGGCUUCCUGCUCCUAACGUUGCCCCUGAAGGCAUCAUUCAGCACACAGGUAGCGACUUGAUACACUCCUGACACGGAAAAAAAUACGUUGCCUACACCCGAAAGCCCUCAUAUAUCACAGCCCAGUUAAAGGAGAAAGAAGCACAAAUAACGAAUUGAAAAGCUACAUAUAACCUACUGUCCAACGGGCACAGAAAUCAGAGUAAGGAAGUCCCUGGGUUUGGUUUACUUUUUUCUUCAGUGCAACAAUAUAGUUCUUAAGCAGAUACAACAGAAACUUCAGCCUCUGCAGAUCUCUCUUUUCACCCCUUGGAGGACAUGUCCUUUUGCUGAAGAAACAGAGCAGAUGUGAAAAUUUUUCUUGUGAUUAAAUGGGAUUUCUAUGUUCCCCAAUGCUGAUACUCCAGCUGUGAAACCUACGAGAUCUACAAACACACACUUGUAUCUUUCUAUAUAUCCACAGUCAAGCUGCUGUCCUACGAGAAAAGAGGAGUUGGACAGGAAUAGGGGUCUGGAAAACCUGCUGUUUUCUAGUAUUAACUGAAAGACAGUGGAGAACAGAGAUAAUAUGAUCAAAUUUUAGAACUAAAGCAAGUAAAGGGCUGAACCCAACAAAGACUUCGGCAGGUGCUUUGCUGUAAUUUCUCUGUUUAUUGCUUACAGCCCUUUUUAAAGCCAGGAGUGCCUCUGACCUUGUGCCUAUAAUAAAGGCUGUGAGUGAUGGGCUGCUAGAAGAAACUCAUGUAAUUUCUCUUGGGCUCUAUAAUAAAAUGGCACAUAACUGAAAAUAUUACAGUAUCAUCAUACCAAAAAAUAAACCUGGGAUUCAUGAUCACUCAAGACAACCUGAUUUUAUCAUUUCAAGUAUAGUUGAAAAUGAAAAGGUUCCAUCUUGUUUCCAUCUUCUUACUGCAUUUUAUUUUGAAUUAUAAGGGAAACAUCAUUAUUUAAACAAAGUCUUUCAAUUGUGUGGGGGGAAGCAAAGCUCAAAAUCAUAGGAGGAAGAAAAAAUUUAACUACUUCUUCUGGCUUAGUACCAGCAAGUACAGAUAUCACACAAUCACAAUGGAGAUUAGUAGGGGCUGGGUGUGCGUAUUUGUAAUGCGUCAAAGAGAGGAUAUAGUGAUUAGAAGCAUGACGAUGCUUUCAACACUCACAGAGGGAUUGAAUGUAUGAUUUAUAAUACUAAUUCUGCAAAACCUUUCUAUGCUUGUGCUUACUGCUCAAGGGUUUCAGCAUGGAUUGAUCACUGAAAAAAAAAGGUGUUUUCUUCAGCUCAGCUGGAUCAAACUCUUGCAACUAAUCAAAAGCCUUUUCAGUAUUGACACUGUCUGAUCUAAGAGAUUGUUUGCUACCUACAUGUUUACUCCAUUGUUCUGCUGCAGAUUAUUGUUCCUACAGUGUAAUUGUCAUAAAAGUUUUUUCUGUGUCCACAGUGGCAAUACUUCACUGAUCGGUAUUUUAGAUGAUAAUCAUUUGAUUUUCUCUGAGUAUUUAUGGCCAUUUUUAUACAUAUAUGUGUUGGAAACAUUAAAACAAAGAUGUUGAUGCCCUUAAAGAGCAAGCAGUAACCCAUAAUCUGAGUUUCUGGUCUCUGAAAUGGUAUACUGGACACUGAUAAAUAGCCUUGACUGAGUGAGUCCCAUUUUGAGGCAGGGCAUGCUUUGGCUGUACCAAAGGGAGAUCAAGAGCACCCAGCAGAGCUGCUGAGAAUUUAUGCUUUUUCAGGUGAAAAAGUUUUCACAGCCAGCUGCAGCUGGAUGUUAAGGUGAGGCCCAGCCUCUAGUGGCUAUCUGGGUGUAAGCCACAGAACUAACAAUGUAAUUCUGCCCUUACUUGCCUUUCCUUUAAGUGAUUGCUAUUUAGCUUCACAGGAACUCUUUCUGGCAUUGCUGGGCAGCACAUACCAGGUUGUGCAUAUUUCAUGUGCUUUCUUCCCCUUAUUCACAACUGCCAAGAUCAAGAUGGCUUCCAGAGAGCACAAUGCUUACUCCUGAUUUCAUGUCUGUGUCCUUCCAAUGCCUGAGGGACAAUGCCGUCAAUGUUUCACUCCAGCUUGAAAUUGUAUUAUGGCAAAUGUGUGCACCGGGGUGUGGACUCAGAUGAUAAAUGAGAAAAGAAGCUGCUUUCUGACCUUUUUCCAACCAACAAAAACAAUUUUUAAUAACUGCUUUUCUUCCUAGAAAGAAAAAAAAAAAACACAAUUCCCUGUAACAUUUAUGGACAAAUAACCUAGAUGGUAAAAUUUAUGUGAUAUUAGAAAGCUUAGUGAUCUGGUAAGAUGUAAUUAAAAUAAAUAAUAAUAAUGUGUACCAAGGGAAUAAAAUU